CAAUAGCGUAUAUUAAAGUUGUUGCAGUUAAAAAGCUCGUAGUUGGAUUUGUGGCGUACGGUGGGUUCCGGGCACUUGUUGUCUGAGUAACUUGCUGUUGCCAUCCCUGGGUGGAACCUGUGUGGCAUUAGGUUGUCGUGCAGGGGAUGCCCAUCAUUUACUGUGAAAAAAUUAGAGUGUUCAAAGCAGGCUUAUGCCGUUGAAUAUAUUAGCAUGGAAUAAUGAGAUAGGACUUUUUUGCUAUUUUGUUGGUUUGCGCAAAGAGGUAAUGAUUAAUAGGGACAGUUGGGGGUAUUCGUAUUCCAUUGUCAGAGGUGAAAUUCUUGGAUUUUUGGAAGACGAACUACUGCGAAAGCAUUUACCAAGGAUGUUUUCAUUAA
rnacentral:rRNA from 1 species